UUGAGAUAGUGCAAUGGAAUGGAAUAGAAUGAUUAACCGCCAUCAGUUGAAGCUUCCCAAAUGGCAAUGCCGAACCUUCCAGAAGAGAUCAUCCUCGACAUACUCUUGAGACUCCCAAUCACCUCUCUAGGUGCGUUUCGAAGCCAUGGCUCUCUCUUCUCCAAUCGUCAUUUCAUCAAAACCCACCUCAAACUCACUCGCAACACCAACGACGAAAACGAACACAAGCGAUUCAUUCUCGUUUUUAGAUCCUGCAUCUCCCAAUCCGUGGAUUUCAAAUCAUUCCAUUCCCGCGACAAUUUCGUGGCCGUUGGCCUCAAAUUCCCCCAAACCAAAACCCUAAUUGUAGGGAGAUUUCUGGUUCCUGUGAUGGCUUGUUAUUGAUGCUCAAUCGCUAUAACUCUUACUUUUUGGUGAACCCAUCUACUGGACAAUCUAGAAAAUUACCCGAAUCUCCUUUUUCAAUCGAGUAUAAAUAUUGUUUAGAUAGUUAUGGGUUUGAUUAUGAUUACAAAGUUGUGAGGAUUAUUGAUUAUGAAUAUGAUUGCAAUAUUGUUGAUAAUAUAGUCACUGUGUAUAAUCUGAGAACCAAUUCAUGGAGAAGGAUUAAGGAUUGUAGUUAUUUGCUUAUGGGUCUUCACCGGGGAUUCUAAUUAGCGGGGCUCUCCACUGGUUAGUGAGUAGUCGCGUGCAUUCAAAUAAGGCGGAUGUAAUUGCUUUACUUGAUUUAUGAGACAAAAAAUUUCUGCAUUUGCCAUCUCCUUGUUCUUCUGAUAAUGAAUUGAACCUAUAUCCCGAGCUUUGUGUUGUUCAAGGGUGCCUAUAUUUGCUUGUUUCUCAUGAUGAUGAUCGUAAAGAUGUUUGGGUGAUGAAAGAUUACGGUGUGAGGGAUUCUUGGACUGAAAUUACAAUCGAUUUUAGUGAUUUUUCUUUUGGAGGCCGUUGUGUUUAUCAACCACAGGCGAAUUUUUGUUGGAUAUGCACGCAAAUAAGCUAGUCUUCUACAAUCCGCAGGAGAAGGAAUCUAAGGAACUAGUGGUUCGAGGUAGGCUAAAUCAUUUUGGUGUCGGAACUUAUGUUGAGAGCCUUGCUUCACCCAAUUGCAGCAAUAUGAUCAAGAGCCAAUGCAGCCAAUGCCAAGCAUCGCAUACAAGAUUACUACUGGAUGGGCAACAUGAAUGAUUGAACUAAACUGUCUUUUGUCAUUCAAUUUUACUUUUAUAUGUCUAUUUUGCUGCAUUGUUGUCUCUUUUUUAUUGAUGUUAAGUAGAAUAGUGUGAGUUUAUAUUGUUAACAUAGAAUUUUUGCUUAAAUGGAUUCAAGUGGCUAGGUUCAAAUUCCCGUGGUUGGUGUGCUUGCUUCGAUUGUCAGAUAGAGAGAGCCAGAUAAACAAAAUAAGGGCUCCCCAAGCAUGGACUGAAGCAUGUAAAGCCAAGGCUGAAGCAUAUUUGUCAAAGGCAAAGAGAUAGAGGCUGGAUGUCCAGUUCCAAGACUGAUGUCUAUAGUUCUAUCACCUUGUGUCUGUGUCACACUUUCUGGUGGUGAAUAUGUUAGCUUUGGUUGAUGAUGGCAUGCUUCUGUAUUGCUGUUCAUGCUAUGGAUUGAAUUUGUCAAACCACAAAAUGAUGGUUGUUUACCAUUUUAA